AUGAACGUUGGCGGCGUGGAUUAGGCAUGCAAGUCGAGCGAGAACCCCGCAAGGGGGGACCGCGGCGAAAGGGACAGUAAUGUGUAGAUUAUCUGCCCUCAGGUCCGGGAUAGCUGCGGGAAACUGCAGGUAAUACCGGAUAACAUCUCCGGAUCAAAGGUGUGAUUCCGCCUGAGGAUGAGUCUGCAUCCUAUUAGCUAGUUGGUGGGGUAAUGGCCUACCAAGGCAUUGAUGGGUAGCAGGUGUGAGGGCACGACCUGCGUCAUUGGGACUGAGACACUGCCCAGACACCUACGGGUGGCUGCAGUCGAGAAUCUUCGGCAAUGGGCGCAAGCCUGACCGAGCGACGCCGCGUGUGGGAUGAAGGCCUUCGGGUUGUAAACCACUGUCAGAGGGGAUGAAAUGCAGGUGGGUUCUCCCAUCUGUUUGACAUAGCCUCAGAGGAAGGACGGGCUAAGUUCGUG
rnacentral:rRNA from 1 species